rnacentral:rRNA from 1 species
GACGAACGCUGGCGGCGUGCCUAACACAUGCAAGUCGAACGGAAAGGCCCGGAUUUUGUUGGGUUCUCGAGUGGCGAAAGGGGGAGUAACACGUGAGUAACCCGCCCUUGUCUUUGGGGUAACUUUAGGAAACUGGGGCUAAUACCCGAUAGGAUCUCCUGCUGCGCGGUGGGGGUUGGUAAAUUUCGGCGUUUGGGUAUGGACUCGCGGCUUAUCAGCUUGUUGGUGGGGUAGUGGCUUACCAAGGCUUUGACGGGUAGCCGGCCUGAGAGGGUGACCGGCCACAUUGGGACUGAGAUACGGCCCAGACUGCUACGGGAGGCAGCAGUGGGGAAUAUUGCACAAUGGGCGGAAGCCUGAUGCAGCAACGCCGCGUGCGGGAUGACGGCCUUCGGGUUGUAAACCGCUUUCGCCUGUGACGAAGCGUGAGUGACGGUAAUGGGUAAAGAAGCACCGGCUAACUACGUG